GUCUCUUCUGAUACAUCCAAUAAAAUUGGAACGAUAAAGAUAAAAAAAAAAUAGCAUGGCCCUGCCCAAGGAUGACAGGCACAAAUAGAGAAAUUUGUAGGCUAAAGGUUCAU
rnacentral:snRNA from 1 species